GUUAAUGUAGCUUAAAACAAAGCAAAGCACUGAAAAUGCUUAGAUGGAUUUUUCAAUCCCAUAAACA
rnacentral:tRNA from 1 species